rnacentral:tRNA from 1 species
CUAAAUUUUAUAGAAAAGUGGGGCGGAUGUAGCCWAGUGGAUCAAGGCAGUNGAUUGUGAAUCCACC